CUACGGGGGGCUGCAGUGGGGAAUAUUGGACAAUGGGCGAAAGCCUGAUCCAGCCAUGCCGCGUGUGUGAAGAAGGCCUUCGGGUUGUAAAGCACUUUCAGUGGGGAAGAAAGCCUUGGGGCUAAUACCCUCGAGGAAGGACAUCACCCACAGAAGAAGCACCGGCUAACUCCGUGCCAGCAGCCGCGGUAAUACGGAGGGUGCGAGCGUUAAUCGGAAUUACUGGGCGUAAAGCGCGCGUAGGCGGUCUGAUAAGCCGGUUGUGAAAGCCCCGGGCUCAACCUGGGAACGGCAUCCGGAACUGUCAGGCUAGAGUGCAGGAGAGGAAGGUAGAAUUCCCGGUGUAGCGGUGAAAUGCGUAGAGAUCGGGAGGAAUACCAGUGGCGAAGGCGGCCUUCUGGACUGACACUGACGCUGAGGUGCGAAAGCGUGGGUAGCAAACAGGAUUAGAUACCCUGGUAAUC
rnacentral:rRNA from 1 species